UUUCCACAAGUUAGGUAUCAGAAUUCCCAGGUCCAAACGCGAUGAGCAGCGUGAACAAUCUUCUCCAAUUGAGCUCCAUGAUUCUCACCCCCGCAUCUCGAAAUUUAAUCGAAGUUUGAAGCAAAAAUCAAAUCCUACUGGGAUGCAUCCAUCACGAUUUUGAAUCCAUCGUUCACGUCCGAACUCCAUUGAAGGUGAAUAGCAAAUGGCACACUAGAGGGAAACAAAUCAAGUAAUGCAGUUGAGCUAAGAGGCAUGGAAGAAAACUUAUGGUGAAUGAAUUCUAGCGCGAUGGCUAAGGUGAUGAGUUCGUUGUUCUUCAAUCUUCGUGUUCCGCCGUUGUCGUUCGUUCUUUGAUUUGUGCCAUUGAUGAUGAAGAAGGCGUGAUGAUCGAUGUUGAUUCGUAGUGAAGCAUUGCGUUGAAUUACCAAUGAGUCUGUGAUGAUGAUCAAAUUAUGAAAAGGUUUAUUUUUUAGAGUGGUUAUGGUUCGGUUGCAAAGUGAAGUUGGAAUUGGUUGAAGCUUGCUUGGAAUCUUGGAUUUAAUAGCUAUUCUUGGAAUUGGAUGAUGGAAUGCAAUGAAACUGUUUUGGACUUUUUCGCAUUGGCUCAUGUUGUAUAAUUGUAGGAUUUAUGUAGAAAAAUAUGUUGUAAACUUAGAAUAUGUAUGAAUGUAGUUAUGGAAUUUUGUAUGAGAUUAUUGAUUUUGAAAUAUGAUGAAAUGGUUGUAAUGGUUUGAA